AUCGGAACAGAAUCUAGUUCCUUCGAUACCAAUGUUUUCUAGUAAUAUGAAUUUUUUUUUCUGUGUUGGUGUAGUGUACUCAGGUGAAUAUGAUAUUUGUGGUGUUACUCUGAGUGCAUAUCCACACCGGGCGAGCUUGAAAAAUAUGCCCGGCCACGGUGGGAUUCGAACCCACGACCUUUGGAAUACUAGCCCAAUGCUCUUCCAACUGAGCUACGCGGUCAGGACGGUUCGAGUAAGUGAUAUUUCGGAACAGAAUCUAGUUCCUUCAAUACCAAUGUAUUCUAGUAANNNNNNNNNNNNNNNNNNNNUCUCAUCUUUUGCAUGGACUUUCCAACAAUAAAGCCACUGGCAUCGAUAAAAUCUCUUCCAAAAUUAUUAAAUUAGCUGCACCUGUUAUCUCAGAUUCACUGACACUUAUUUUCAAUCAGGCUAUUACUUUAUCUUCUUUUCCUGAUGAAUGGAAGGUUGCUAGAGUGAUGCCUCUAUAUAAAAAUGGCCAGCGUAGUAUUCCUGGAAACUACAGACCAAUAUCAGUUUUACCGGCCAUUAGUAAAAUUAUGGAACGGAUAUUGUAUGAUCAACUGUAUAACUAUUUAACAAAAUUUGAGCUUCUCAGUGAUUCCCAAUUUGGAUUUCGAAAAUUUCACUCUACAGCUAGUGCACUACUAGACUGUACUAAUGAUUGGUAUGUAAAUCUAGACAGAAAAAUGUUUAACCUAGUAGUUUUAAUUGAUUUGAAGAAAGCCUUUGAUACUGUUGAUCAUCAAAUUCUGCUGAACAAAUUAGAGCUCUAUGGAAUAAAAGGAC
rnacentral:tRNA from 1 species